UACGAAGGGUGCAAGCGUUACUCGGAAUUACUGGGCGUAAAGCGCGUGUAGGCGGCCCGGUAAGUCCGCUGUGAAAGUCGGGGGCUCAACCCUCGAAUGCCGGUGGAUACUGUCGGGCUAGAGUGCGGAAGAGGCGAGUGGAAUUCCUGGUGUAGCGGUGAAAUGCGCAGAUAUCAGGAGGAACACCAAUUGCGAAGGCAGCUCGCUGGGACGUGACUGACGCUGAGACGCGAAAGCGUGGGGAGCGAACAGG
rnacentral:rRNA from 1 species